GCUCUUACCUGGCAGGGAAGAUGCCGUGAUCAUGAAGAUGGUUUUCCCAGGGAGAGGCUUAUCCAUUGCACUCUGGUUGUGCUGACCCCCGAGAUCUCCCCCAAUGCAGGAAACUUGACUAUAUAAUUUGUGGUAGUGGGGGACCACAUUCAAUCUCCCCAC
rnacentral:snRNA from 1 species